AUUGUAACCCUACUGAGACAUGACUACUGGCAACGCGGUGACGUGUUGCGUUUUUAAUUUUGUUUUUACACGAGAAAGCAUUAAGUUUACCUGUCGGAGAGCAGCUGGCAAACAACAAACGAUAAAGGACAUUCCUACUUGGUCUUUGAACACACUCAGAAGAAUUGGAGAAACUGAGGAGGAAUUUCAACAUCUGGAAAAGUGGUUGGAAAUUGAGAAGAUCCGGGCAGCAAUGGUGUCAAAGUUGUGCAGAAUUGAAGGAAGAAACCUCAAAGACAGUGCCAGAAGGAUGCUGGACAGGUAAAGCCUACAAAACGUGCA